UAGCGGAUAUUGCACGGAGUGGUUGAAGAAGAGAUCCAGCGAUAAAGCAAGCAUUAACUGAGUCUUCUACGGAAUGGAGUAAGGAGGUAAUCAUUUAGGUGAAGAAGCUAAUGUGAUUCCUGCUGGUGCAGUGUGAUAGCCCGAAGUUAGCUGAAGUCAUACAACUCGAUCAUGUAGAACAUAUGGUGCUGGAAAAAAAAUACUGUAUGUUCACAAAUGCAGGCUGGAGAUAAGAAAAGUUUCAGGAGAACAGUACAAUUAUGUGUAGGAUUAGUUUCAGUUCACUGUAGUUCUGUUCGUUUGGAGUAUUUUCUUAGAAUGCUAGGAGUUUUGAUAUUUCUUUGAUCAUAGCAGUGCUGAAGUCUCUGGAGAUAUUAAAUUAAACCAGUGUAAAAAUUGUUAGUAGGAUCCAAUCGUAGAAAGGUUAAAACAAUUUAGGAGCAGUACAGCGUGAAAUAAAAAGACCCUUGUUCCUAGGUUCUGAUAUAUACUAGGCGGAAAGACAAUAUAAAAUUUUUGGUUUUUUUUUCUGAUAGUAAACUUUAAUUGUUUUUAUAUUGUAGAAAAGUCUUUAACUGUAAUUCAUGAAGCGGUUUACAUAAAAUGAUAUACAUACAUACCAAUUUAAGUAGAGUUUAAAGCAGAUAGUGAAAUCUUCGCAAGUGCUUUUCUCACAUUAUAAGUCAAGCAGUUGAGCUCGAUAACAAUGACGUAAAAUUUUAUUCAAUUAGCAAUUCCUAAAGUAAAGACGACAUCGUGAAGAACUGCAGGUAGUUUCGUGCUUAUUUAGUUUUGAGGUAAAAAAAUGAAUUGGGCAACGAAUGACUAUUUCUAAAAUACAAAUUACGAAUCCUAAUAAUGUUACAUUAGUUAUAUAACUCCAAAAUUUUUAGACAAAUAGCGAUUACGUAAAAAGGAAUUUGUUGACCUUCGUCUUUCGUAAUGAUAGGAAAAUAGAAGAAAAGAAAGGCGAAGGGCUUGGCCUAGUGAAGCCUAUAAUGACCUGUAGAAUAUUUGAGUGCAACAUACAUACAUACUAUGGGAACUUAUUGCUGCUGAUUUUGUUGGGCUCAUGCUGUCUGAUAAUAUUCUUUCUAUUUUUUUAGUUUUGCAGCUAAUUUAACGAGGUCGGACAAGAAGCGGAUAGCCAUACAUUAUCUCUUAACGUGAACUAUUUAAGAUGCCGGACUGCAGGAAACUGACAACCGGCCACAAUCAUUAUCAAAUUGUAAAUUUAGAUGAUGAUGAUUAACCUGGGCUUUUUAGGGAAAUAUCUGUUAAACGGAUUAGGUGGUGAUUCAUCAACAAUGAUUCGACAUCAAGCAUUGGACUGUCUUCACACAUGAGGUGGCCAAGGACGUUAGUCGUGGAGCAAAACGAACCAGGAUCGAGAAGGUAGAUUUGGUUGUCAUGAAGGGAAAGUGGAAGAGAAUAAUGUGUUAAGAAACUGUUAGAAAACUCAAGAAGCAUAGCCCAUGAUGAGCCUGUUAUAACUGUGAGGAUGUUACUAAAUCAAUCUACUUAAGGAUAAACGGGACUGUGUAGACAAUAACCGCCAUUGCUCUGUUGUUACCAAGAUGUGCAUAAGCUGAUUGUUUUUCAGCCACUCCAGUAUGAUAGAAAUUGAAUACCGUCUUCAAAAUCGGAAGGUUGAUAGUUAGAAAGAGAGAAAAGAUAGGAAAAUUAACACGGCAUCCCGUAUCACCUUAACUGUUUGAGAUGAAACGACAGAUGGAUGCAGUGGAGUAGAUUAAAACAGCAAGGCAAGCAUUCUUGUGACUACAAUGAAAAGAAAAAUGGUUUCUUGUUUGUUUAUAACAAGUUUACAGUAGCUUAAAUAAGGGUCCUAAAUAAUUGUAAACGUUUUAUAUGUCAGAUAGCAUUGAUUUUAUAUAAGUAACUAAACAACUGUAAAGAAAAGGAGGAAUGUAGUGUCCACACUACUACUAUUGCGAAUAUCUUGUGUAAAAGAAUCUUAGAGUGUAUGCUGUCACCUACCCGUAGUCGAAUGACAUGUAAAUAAAUAAUGUUCAGUUCUGUUCAGACCAACGUCGCGUGAAGACGUGUCUCUGCAAUCGUAUCCGAAGACCAACAUCAGACAUUACAGGGUGCAAAAAAGGUUUUUUCAACACAGAGGAGUUUAAAAGACAUUAUGUAUUUUUUCUAAUAAUAAUAUGACGGAAACGUGUUGAAUCGUUAAGUCUGAUCUUAAGCGCUGUACGUGAAAUCAUAAAAUUGAGUAAUAUUUUUUUCUGUAUUUACAUAAAUUAUCCCGGCUAGGUGACAUAUUUUUCUGAUAAAACUCUAUGUUCCUGAUGAUUCCUCCAAUAGGGCUAACCUUCCUGAGGUAGUCAUAACUGAGCUCAUGAUAGAACUAGCGGUUUUAUCACAGCAUUUUUUUGGUUUAUGUUACGGCCACGAAAUCUUUUGUUGGUUUUAUGCAUUGCCUCUCAGUUUUGUGUAUUUGUUUACAAAAAAAUCUCUCCGACAACAACCGCAAAUGCAAGCUUUAUUUAAAUGGUAUAUAAUAAGUGAUAAAACCAAUUCAUGUCUACUUGCAAGUCUUUAACUGAAGAUGUUUAUAGCAGAAGUUAUAUGACAGUUUUAUGGAACGCCAAAGGUUCAAAGAAAAAAACUACCACAUAAAACUAAUUUAGAACAACUAGCUUUUUGACAAGCUCGUAUAAAACCAGGAUAAAACAUCAAUAAACCUUCAAGGCAUGCUGAUUGUUAAGUGCCCCACACAAUGCAUACGUUUGCGUGUGCGUGACAGUAGUUUGACACAUUUCCCAUGGGAAAACUGUCAAAAAAACGCAAACCUCGACGGAACGGACGCUAUGUGUUCCAGGCUUUACUUGGGAUUUGAUUUGCGCGAUCGUUCCACCAGAGGCGCUAGGGUUUGAUCGCUUUGGCGUUUGCCUGUGAACACGUUGCUGAAUGAUGCAAACGAAAAUUACAGGCAUUUUGUGUAGUAGUGUGCAUGUCAGCAAAACGUCAAAUCGAAAUCCAUCAUGGCCGACAGUGUCGCACGCGGUUCUACCAACAGGUGGCAGUGUGCUCAUGAAAAUGACGCCGGGCGAAAAUUUUUGAUGAAUUUCCUCUAAGAGUUACGUCUGUUUGUCUGUGAUCUGUCACUUCGCGAAACCCACGUGCCUUUGUUUUUGGUAUGACCAUAGACUAAUUUCUAUGACUUGUUAUGAUCUGAUUUUCUUAAACAUGGCUAUGAACAUACGUGUGCAGUUUGAUGAAAAAAGUUUUGUUCAAAACUAUCCUCAAGGGUAAUUUGUGAAAUUGCAAAAAAACGUUGUACGCAACUCGGUGCAGAACUCGAUUUUUCCAGCACUCGUCGUAAUUAUCCAACUCGGCAAGUCUCGUUGGAUAAAUGUACGACUCGUGCUGUAAAAAUCCUCAUUCUGCACCUUGUUGCGUAAACUACUAUACUUCCAUUUGAGUACUUUAUCGUCAAAGUGCACAAGUUCGCAACUUCCAAAGUGAGCUGCGAUCGCACUUUGGUUUUUAUCAAAAUUGAUAAUAUUUCGCAUGUGUUCAAUCGGCUCUACUGCCGUUUUAGAUGUAUUAUGCCAAAAUGACUGUAAUCAAAACAAUUGGCUUCUUUAGCGGUGUUGAGAUAAUUCCAUAUUCUGAAUCUGCAUGCGAAACUGAGCCGAAAUCUAAAUUUUCUGGAAUUUUGAUGCCCGGGAACCUAUUUAAAAACCAAUUUGAAGUUUGUAUGGGAGCGAUUUGUCGAAUCACCCCUCGUCGCAUUUUGUACUGGGUGAAGCUGUCAAACAGUUACCCAGCUGUCAAAAGGUGAUUUCAAAAAAUCUCUUUAAAAUUGAUUUUAGGUAGAAAAAUAAAGUUCUUAAAAUCUGAAUAAAAUCAUAGAGGCUCAGAAAAAGAUGCUCUUCCGUAUAAAAUAAAAAAAUCGAUACAUUUUUCUUAAGCGCUGUUUGCAGUUCAGAAGGAAUUUCUCGGCCUAUCUUGAUGCAUGGGAAAUUCCUUGCCUGAAUCGCCCAAGAAACAGUUUUUCUUCCAUCGCAGUACGCAGUUGCGAAGAAAUGACAAUUCAAAUGGCCGUCACCGUAGAAAGUUUCUGCCAGGAAUCGCUCAAGAAGUUUCUUCAGCGAUUCCUUUAGAACUCGAAACUGCGCUUUAAUUUAAAAACCCAAUUGAACUCAUCAAACGACGAGUGAAAAAAUCCUAGGCAGCAUCCAUUUAUUACGUAACGCUAAAAUCGUCAUUUUUCAAACCCCCUCCCCCCUCCGUAACGCUUUUUUGGAUGAAAACCUGAACAUUUUAGUAUGAACCGUAACGCUCGACCAUACUCCCCCCUCUCCCAGAGUGUUACGUAAUUUGUGGAUGGCGCCCUAGUGAGAAAUAAAGUUGUUGUCGGGGUAACCGUGAGGAAACGCAUGGGUUCAGUGAGGUGUGCAAAUAAUCACUGUGCACAAAUUGUUUGCGCUUAAGUCUAAUAAUUUUUUAGAUGCUCAAUACAUAUAAUGCCGAAUAAGCGGGGUACGACGGUAACUUGUUUUUUCUAUAUACUCAUUUUUGGGUAAAAUCGAGCCAUAAAUUAGGUAGUUUGGAUUUUCCGUGUACCCUUCGGAAACGUUUUCGCUCACACCGCUCACAACAGCGUUUGUCACAGUUUGGCAUCACUUCUCACUCUGCAAAACAGAAACAUUGUUGUCGAACGUGCGCACGCUUGUUCGAAGUGAAAGUUUCCGAUAAGUACCUAGGUAAUAAAAAAGUUAUAAAUAUUCUUCCUUUUAAAUUGCGCAACUAAAUCUCCUCCACCGUCGGUUCAUUGUCCGUUCAACAGCAACCAUCGAUCAAAGUGUCCAUCCCGCUGCAAAGUCAUCGAACUAUUUACAACUCCCUGAAACACAGGCGCUUCGAUCGGGAAUUUUUCGUGGAAGAUCUGUCAAGCGUUUCGUCCGGUCGGAUUUCUUGCAGAGAUCGACCCAGUGGCUGAAUCGGAUAAUCUGCCGGUUAAUCUGCAACAUCGAUUGUGAUUCGUAGGCAGGCCAAGGCAACAUUCCGGAAGGAGAUUUCCCACGCGGAACAUGUGCAGAGCGGAAACAUUCUGUUGCGAUUUGCGAUUGAAGAGUGGAUUGUACGGGUUGAAAAAGUGGUCUUGCUGAUUGAGGUUGCCAAUUACAAUAGCUUGGGGGAUGAUUCGUGGAACUGGUGGACCUUCCGGUCCUAUGCGAAUUCCGAUACUCAUGUGAAAGUUGUGCAGGAGCUUACGACGGACAUUCCGGACAAGCUGGAAAUCUACCGCUUUGUCCUUCAGCAUCUUUUUUGUUAAACGCCAACAAUUAACCGGUUCUGGGCAAGGCUAAAUGUAUUCUCCUUGAGUCGGCGUUGCAUCAGGAUAAGAAGUUGUGAAAUAUCAAGGCCUCUCAUCGUACAAGAAACCUGGUUCGUCCUGAGAUGGUGUGUGGUGGUGACCAAUGGAUUGUGGGGCAAGCGGGCAGCAACCUACAUACACACCACAUAAUUGCACACCUUCCGUUCAGUUACCGAUCAACCGGGUGGGAUGGUGUCCUGACGAAUCAUCUGCUCGCGUGCAACAGAAACAGGCGUUCUAACGUGAUAACCAAGGUAAGAAACUGUUGUUUCGGCUUUCGGACAGUUGAUACCUCCGGCUAAGUUUCAACUUCCGACAGCCGAAUUAGUCAUCCGGAAUAAUUCCAUCGGUUGUUGAGGAUUCAUUCUAAGCCAAUAUCUUUCGUAUGCUGUGGGUGUUUAGGAAUGAUUCAAGGAUCUAUUUGUCACUUGCCGAGGCAGUCGAAGAUUCCUCCGGUUUUCGGAAGGGCCUGUCUUCAAGUACAUAGACGUAAGAGAGGAGCAGGGAAUUUGACCAACGUCUUCCAGUCCAAACACAUUUUGAAUUGGAUGUAUGGAGGGCGCAGAUGACCAAAAUGGAGUCUAUGUUUUUUUUUUUUUUUUUUUUAUAGGGGUAGGUAAUAUUCGAUUACAAAGAGUUAUAGCAGCAAGUGCCCAAAAUGAAUGCUCCUGCUCAAAUGGUCCCAGACCCUAUAUGUAUCUAUGUACAUAUAACAUAUCCCUAUCAAUCAGAUUUCAAUUUUAUUCAUGGUUCUGUAUGGGACGAUAGCGAUCGUCAUCGUUUCAAACAGAAUCAACAUCGAAAAUCUCGCACUGGUUGACCUGGCCCACUCUUAAUUGAUGGGGUAAGAAGCAAAGGUGUGUACACUCAAACCUCCAUUUAGGUAGUAUCCAUUUAGGUAAAAUCGAUUUAGGUCCCUCCAUUUAGGUAACGUUACCCAAAUGGAAUUUUAUUGUGAUCAGAUCAGUUGGAGUACUUAAGAUUAGGUAUGAGGUUCGUUUACGGAAAAGAAGUAGUGAGUGUUGUUAAGAGGAUAAAGGGGGGGGGGAUUGAUGCAAUGUUGAGAUUUCAUUUUAAAGGCAUUUUCAUUUUUUGUUUUUCAUACAAUUUUACUAUACAUAUAUCAUCAUGGCGCUAUUGUUUUGGCAGCUCUUGGCAGUUGCAUUUUUCUUUAACCGAUUGUGCAUACAUAAACGAGCAUUUGAACGUAAUCUCCCCGCGGGGAGUAGCGGGGAGCGAUUUGUAAGACACUUUGAAGUCGAACUGUAAGAAUUUCUCGUACUAAUGACAUGUAAUGUCAAUUUUGAAGCCAGAAGUAUUAUUUUGGUCUCUUGCUCCAUUGCAGAUAUCUGAUAUGCACAAGAACUUUCAAAUAAACUUUUGAAAGCAAUUGUUUUACUUAUAUCAAUAGACUUUUGUAGUGGUUGAACUUGUUUGUGUUCUUUAUAAAAAAAAUCAGCACUUUUUCCAUCAGCAGCUAUGCAGUGCUGUAACAAGAUACAAAAUCAAUAUUUCCAUUUUUUUUUAGUGCUCCUGGUAUUAUAGUUGAAUGCCCAAUAUACUGUAUCCCAUAUAAGACAUGUUCAAAAAUUGAGUUUAUGCCAGCUUUUCUCAAAAUUGGACCUCUGUGCCUCGUAGACUUUUGUCCAUACAAAAUUUUUAAAAUUUGUAUGGAGCGUAGACUUUGGUCAGAACCCACCACCCCCCCCCCCCUCCCCCCAAAAAGUCUACUUUAUGAACGGCCCUUUUCAAGUUUUUCACCAAUUUAUCAUCCUAUACAAAAUCGACCCAAUUUUCUCCCCGAUUUAUUGUAAUUUUUCUACUUAUCGUAAAAAUAAUAUUGAAAAAAAAUCCUGAGAGCUUGAAAUCUGAAGAACUUAUGCUCAAAUCAAUAUCGACUAAAUGAUCACUUAUAACCCUUUGCAUCUGGGCCCUUCAAUUCAUAUAAAAUACGCAGUAGUUUUUAUCUGCUUUUAUAUGAAUGUGAUUACCGCAUUACGAUGAAUUAAUGAGGAAUAUAUGCAUUAACUUCACUCCACUACACGAUAGUCCUUCCCGGGAUGUGGAUCAUAUGAUUCUACUCUUCAUCUUUAUAACUACGCGAUAUUCUUUCCUAAAAUGUGGAGCAUAUGUAUCCACUAUUCGUCCUUAUAAACACGCAGUACUCUUCCCCAAAAUAUGGAGCAUAUGUUUCCACUCUUUGUGCUAACAAAUACGUGUAUUCUUUCCAUCAAAUGUGGAGCAUAUUAUCCACUCUUCGUCCUUAUGAACACGCGGUACUUUUGCCUCAAAUGUGGAGCAUAUAUAUCCUCACUUCGCCUUUUAAAUACGCGAUAUUCCUUUCCAAAUGUGGAUCAUAUGUAUCCACUCUUUGUGCUUACAAAUACGCGUACUCUUUUCCUCAAAUGUGGAGCAUAUGUAUCCACUUAUCAUCCUCAUAAACACACGGUACUCUUCCCCCAAAUGUGGAGCAUAUGUAUCCAUUCUUCGUAUUUAUAAAUACGUGGUAUUCUUCCCCCAAAUGUGGAGCAUAUGUAUCCACUCUUCGUCCUUAUAAACACGCGGUACUUUUCCCCCAAAUGUGGAGCAUAUGUAUCCACUUUUCGUCCCCAUAAACACACGGUACUCUUCCCCCAAAUGUGGAGCAUAUGUAUCCAUUCUUCGUAUUUAUAAAUACGCGGAAUUCUUCCCCCAAAUGUGGAGCAUAUGUAUCAAUUCUUCGUCUUCAUAAAUACGCGGUACUCUUCCCCCAAAUGUUGAGCAUAUGUAUCCACUCUUCGUCCUUAUAUACACGCGGUACUCUUCCUGUAAAUGUGGAGCAUAUGUAUCAAUUCUUCGUCUUAAUAAAUACGCGGUACUCUUCCCCCAAAUGUGGAGCAUAUGUAUCAAUUCUUCGUCUUCAUAAAUACGCGGUACUCUUCCCUCAAAUGUGGAGCAUAUGUAUCCACUCUUCGUCUAUAUUAACACGCGAUACUCUUCCCUUAAAUGUGGAGCAUAUGUAUCCACUUUUCGUCCUCAUAAACACACGGUACUCUUUCCCCAAAUGUGGAGCAUAUGUAUCCAUUCUUCGUCUUUAUAAAUACGCGGUACUCUUCCCCCAAAUGUGGAGCAUAUGUAUCAAUUCUUCGUCUUCAUAAAUACGCGGUACUCUUCCCCCAAAUGUGGAGCAUAUGUAUCCACUUUUCGUCCUCAUAAACACACGGUACUCUUUCCCCAAAUGUGGAGCAUAUGUAUCCACUCUUCGUCUUUAUAAACACGCGGUACUCUUCCCCCAAAUGUGGAGCAUAUGUAUCCACUCUUCGUCUUUAUAAACACGCGGUACUCUUCCCCCAAAUGUGGAGCAUAUGUAUCCACUCUUCGUCUAUAUUAACACGCGGUACUCUUCCCCCAAAUGUGGAGCAUAUGUAUCCACUUUUCGUCCUCAUAAACACACGGUACUCUUUCCCCAAAUGUGGAGCAUAUGUAUCCACUCUUCGUCUAUAUUAACACGCGGUACUCUUCCCCCAAAUGUGGAGCAUAUGUAUCCACUUUUCGUCCUCAUAAACACACGGUACUCUUUCCCCAAAUGUGGAGCAUAUGUAUCCACUCUUCGUCUUUAUAAAUACGCGAUACUCUUCCGCCAAAUGUUGAGCAUAUGUAUCCACUUUUCGUUCUCAUAAACACACGGUACUCUUCCCCCAAAUGUGGAGCAUAUGUAUCCAUUCUUCGUCCUUAUUAACACGCGGUACUCUUUCCCCAAAUGUGGAGCAUAUGUACCCAUUCUUCGUCCUUAUAACACGCGGUACUCUUCCCCCAAAUGUGGAGCAUAUGUAUCCACUUUUCGUCCUCAUAAACACACGGUACUCUUUCCCCAAAUGUGGAGCAUAUGCAUCAAUUCUUCGUCUUUAUAAAUACGCGGUACUCUUCCCCGAAAUGUGGAGCAUAUGUAUCCACUCUUCGACUUUAUUAAUACGCGGUACUCUUCCGCCAAAUGUUUAGCAUAUGUAUCCACUUUUCGUUCUCAUAAACACACGGUACUCUUCCCCCAAAUGUGGAGCAUAUGUAUCCAUUCUUCGUCCUUAUUAACACGCGGUACUCUUUCCCCAAAUGUGGAGCAUAUGUACCCAUUCUUCGUCCUUAUAAACACGCGAUACUCUUCCCCCAAAUGUGGAGCAUAUGUAUCCACUCUUCGUCUUUAUAAACACGCGGUACUCUUCCCCCAAAUGUGGAGCAUAUGUAUCCACUUUUCGUCCUCAUAAACACACGGUACUCUUUCCCCAAAUGUGGAGCAUAUGUAUCCAUUCUUCGUUUUUAUAAAUACGCGGUACUCUUCCCCCAAAUGUGGAGCAUAUGUAUCAAUUCUUCGUCUUCAUAAACACGCGGUACUCUUCCCUCAAAUGUAGAGCAUAUGCAUCCAUUCUUCGUGUUUAUAAACACUUCGUAUUUAUAAAUACGCGGAAUUCUUCCCUCAAAUGUGGAGCAUAUGUAUUCAUUCUUUGUCUUUAUAAACACGCGGUACUCUUCCCCCAAAUGUGGAGCAUAUGUAUCCACUUUUCGUCCUCAUAAACACACGGUACUCUUUCCCCAAAUGUGGAGCAUAUGUAUCCACUCUUCGUCUUUAUAAACACGCGGUACUCUUCCCCCAAAUGUGGAGCAUAUGUAUCCACUCUUCGUCUAUAUUAACACGCGGUACUCUUCCCCCAAAUGUGGAGCAUAUGUAUCCACUUUUCGUCCUCAUAAACACACGGUACUCUUUCCCCAAAUGUGGAGCAUAUGUAUCCACUCUUCGUCUAUAUUAACACGCGGUACUCUUCCCUCAAAUGUGGAGCAUAUGUAUCCACUUUUCGUCCUCAUAAACACACGGUACUCUUUCCCCAAAUGUGGAGCAUAUGUAUCCACUCUUCGUCUUUAUAAAUACGCGAUACUCUUCCGCCAAAUGUUGAGCAUAUGUAUCCACUUUUCGUUCUCAUAAACACACGGUACUCUUCCCCCAAAUGUGGAGCAUAUGUAUCCAUUCUUCGUCCUUAUUAACACGCGGUACUCUUUCCCCAAAUGUGGAGCAUAUGUACCCAUUCUUCGUCCUUAUAACACGCGGUACUCUUCCCCCAAAUGUGGAGCAUAUGUAUCCAUUCUACGUCCUUAUUAACACGCGGUACUCCUCCCCCAAAUGUGGAGCAUGUGUAUCCACUCUUCGUCUUUAUAAACACGUAGUACUCUUCGCCAAAUGUUGAGCAUAUGUAUUCACUUUUCGUCCUCAUAAACACGCGGUACUCUUUCCCCAUAUGUGGAGCAUAUGUAUCCAGUCUUCGUUUUUAUAAAUACGCGGUAUUUUUUCCCCAAAUGUGGAGCAUAUGUAUCCACUCUCUUUAUAAAAACGCGCUACUCUUCCCUCAAAAAGUGAGCAUGUGUAUCCACUUUUCGUCCAUAUAAAUACGUGAUACUCUUUCCCCAUAUGUGGAGCAUAUUUAUCCAGUCUUCGUUUUUAUAAAUACGCGUUACUUUUUCCCCAAAUGUGGAGCAUAUGUAUCCACUCUUCGUCCUUAUAAACACGCGGUACUCUUCCCCCAAAUGUGGAGCAUAUGUAUCCACUCUUCGACUUUAUAAAUACGCGGUACUUUUCCGCCAAAUGUUGAGCAUAUGUAUCCACUUUUUGUCCUCAUAAACCACGGUACUCUUCCUCCAAAUGUGGAGCAUAUGUAUCCACUUUUCGUCCUCAAACACACGGUACUCUUUCCCCAAAUGUGGAGCAUAUGCAUCCAUUCUUCGUCUUUAUAAAUACGCGGUACUCUUCCCCCAAAUGUGGAGCAUAUGUAUCCACUCUUCGACUUUAUAAAUACACGGUACUCUUCCGCCAAAUGUUGAGCAUAUGUAUCCACUUUUCGUCCUCAUAAACACACGGUACUCUUCCCUCAAAUGUGGAGCAUAUGUAUCCAUUCUUCGUCCUUAUAAACACGCGGUACUCUUUCCCCAAAUGUGGAGCAUAUGUAUCCAUUCUUCGUCCUUAUAAACACGCGGUACUCCUCCCCCAAAUGUGGAGCAUGUGUAUCCACUCUUCGUCUUUAUAAACACGUAGUACUCUUCCCCAAAUGUGGAGCAUAUGUAUCCACUUCUCGUCCUUAUAAACACGCGGUACUCUUCCCCAAAUGUAGAGCAUAUGUAUCCAUUCUUCGUCUCUAUAAACACACGGUACUCUUCCCCCAAAUGUGGAGCAUAUGUAUCCAUUCUUCGUCCUUAUUAACACGCGGUACUCUUCCCCCAAAUGUGGAGCAUGUGUAUCCACUCUUCGUCUUUAUAAACACGCGGUACUCUUCCCCCCCAAUGUGGAGCAUAUGUAUUCAAUCUUUGUCUUUCACUCAAAUGUGAAGCAUAUUAUCCACUCUUCCUCCUUAUAAACACGCGGUACUCUUUCCCCAAAUAUGGAACAUAUGUAUCCAUUCUUCGUCUUUAUAAACACGUGGUACUCUUCCCCAAAUGUGGAGCAUAUGUAUCCACUUCUCGUCCUUAUAAACACGCGGUACUCUUCCCCCAAAUGUGGAGCAUAUGUAUCCAUUCUUCGUCUUUAUAAAUACGCGGAAUUCUUCUCCCAAAUGUGGAGCAUGUGUAUCCACUCUUCGUCUUUAUAAACAAGCGGUACUCUUCCCCAAAUGUGGAGCAUAUGUAUCCACUUUUCGUCCUUAUAAACACGCGGUACUCUUCCCCCAUAUGUAGAGCAUAUGUAUCCAUUCUUCGUCUUUAUAAAUACGCAGAAUUCUUCCCCCAAAUGUGGAGCAUAUGUAUCAAUUCUUCGUCUUCAUAAAUACGCGGUACUCUUCCUCCAAAUGUGGAGUAUAUGUAUUCACUCUUUGUCUUUAUAAACACGCGGUACUCUUUCCCCAAAUAUGGAGCAUAUGUAUCCAUUCUUCGUCUUUAUAAACACGUGGUACUCUUCCCCAAAUGUGGAGCAUAUGUAUCCACUUCUCGUCCUUAUAAACACGUGGUACUCUUCCCCCAAAUGUGGAGCAUAUGUAUCCAUUCUUCGUCUUUAUAAAUACGCAGAAUUCUUCCCCCAAAUGUGGAGCAUAUGUAUCAAUUCUUCGUCUUCAUAAAUACGCGGUACUCUUCCCCCAAAUGUGGAGUAUAUGUAUUCACUCUUUGUCUUUAUAAACACGCGGUACUCUUUCCCCAAAUAUGGAGCAUAUGUAUCCAUUCUUCGUCUUUAUAAACACGUGGUACUCUUCCCCAAAUGUGGAGCAUAUGUAUCCACUUCUCGUCCUUAUAAACACGCGGUACUCUUCCCCCAAAUGUGGAGCAUAUGUAUCCAUUCUUCGUCUUUAUAAAUACGCAGAAUUCUUCCCCCAGAUGUGGAGCAUAUGUAUCAAUUCUUCGUCCUCAUAAACACGCGGUACUCUUUCCCCAUAUGUGGAGCAUAUGUAUCCAGUCUUCGUUUUUAUAAAUACGCGGUAUUUUUCCCCCAAAUGUGGAGCAUAUGUAUCCACUCUCUUUAUAAAAACGCGGUAAUCUUCCCUCAAAAAGUGAGCAUGUGUAUCCACUUUUCGUCCAUAUAAAUACGUGAUACUCUUUCCCCAUAUGUGGAGCAUAUUUAUCCAGUCUUCGUUUUUAUAAAUACGCGUUACUUUUUCCCCAAAUGUGGAGCAUAUGUAUCCACUCUUCGUCCUUAUAAACACGCGGUACUCUUCCCCCAAAUGUGGAGCAUAUGUAUCCACUCUUCGACUUUAUAAAUACGCGGUACUUUUCCGCCAAAUGUUGAGCAUAUGUAUCCACUUUUUGUCCUCAUAAACCACGGUACUCUUCCCCCAAAUGUGGAGCAUAUGUAUCCACUUUUCGUCCUCAAACACACGGUACUCUUUCCCCAAAUGUGGAGCAUAUGCAUCCAUUCUUCGUCUUUAUAAAUACGCGGUACUCUUCCCCCAAAUGUGGAGCAUAUGUAUCCACUCUUCGACUUUAUAAAUACACGGUACUCUUCCGCCAAAUGUUGAGCAUAUGUAUCCACUUUUCGUCCUCAUAAACACACGGUACUCUUCCCUCAAAUGUGGAGCAUAUGUAUCCAUUCUUCGUCCUUAUAAACACGCGGUACUCUUCCCCCAAAUGUGGAGCAUAUGUAUCCAUUCUACGUCCUUAUUAACACGCGGUACUCUUUCCCCAAAUGUGGAGCAUAUGUAUCCAUUCUUCGUCCUUAUAAACACGCGGUACUCCUCCCCCAAAUGUGGAGCAUGUGUAUCCACUCUUCGUCUUUAUAAACACGUAGUACUCUUCCCCAAAUGUGGAGCAUAUGUAUCCACUUCUCGUCCUUAUAAACACGCGGUACUCUUCCCCAAAUGUGGAGCAUAUGUAUCCAUUCUUCGUCUCUAUAAACACACGGUACUCUUCCCCCAAAUGUGGAGCAUAUGUAUCCAUUCUUCGUCCUUAUUAACACGCGGUACUCUUCCCCCAAAUGUGGAGCAUGUGUAUCCACUCUUCGUCUUUAUAAACACGCGGUACUCUUCCCCAAAUGUGGCGCAUAUGUAUCCACUUCUCGUCCUUAUAAACACGCGGUACUCUUCCCCCAUAUGUAGAGCAUAUGUAUCCAUUCUUCGUCUUUAAAAAUACGCGGUACUCUUCCCCCCCAAUGUGGAGCAUAUGUAUUCAAUCUUUGUCUUUCACUCAAAUGUGAAGCAUAUUAUCCACUCUUCCUCCUUAUAAACACGCGGUACUCUUUCCCCAAAUAUGGAGCAUAUGUAUCCAUUCUUCGUCUUUAUAAACACGUGGUACUCUUCCCCAAAUGUGGAGCAUAUGUAUGCACUUCUCGUCCUUAUAAACACGCGGUACUCUUCCCCCAAAUGUGGAGCAUAUGUAUCCAUUCUUCGUCUUUAUAAAUACGCGGAAUUCUUCUCCCAAAUGUGGAGCAUGUGUAUCCACUCUUCGUCUUUAUAAACACGCGGUACUCUUCCCCAAAUGUGGAGCAUAUGUAUCCACUUCUCGUCCUUAUAAACACGCGGUACUCUUCCCCCAUAUGUAGAGCAUAUGUAUCCAUUCUUCGUCUUUAUAAAUACGCGGAAUUCUUCCCCCAAAUGUGGAGCAUAUGUAUCAAUUCUUCGUCUUCAUAAAUACGCGGUACUCUUCCCCCAAAUGUGGAGUAUAUGUAUUCACUCUUUGUCUUUAUAAACACGCGGUAUUCUCCCCCAAAUGUGGAGCAUAUGUAUCCACUCUUCGUCUAUAUUAACACGCGGUACUCUUCCCCCAAAUGUGGAGCAUAUGUAUCCACUUUUCGUCCUCAUAAACACACGGUACUCUUUCCCCAAAUGUGGAGCAUAUGCAUCCAUUCUUCGUCUUUAUAAAUACGCGGUACUCUUCCCCGAAAUGUGGAGCAUAUGUAUCCACUCUUCGACUUUAUUAAUACGCGGUACUCUUCCGCCAAAUGUUGAGCAUAUGUAUCCACUUUUUGUUCUCAUAAACACACGGUACUCUUCCCCCAAAUGUGGAGCGUAUGUAUCCAUUCUUCGUCCUUAUUAACACGCGGUACUCUUUCCCCAAAUGUGGAGCAUAUGUAUCCAUUCUUCGUUCUUAUAAACACGCGGUACUCUUCCCCCAAAUGUGGAGCAUAUGUAUCCAUUCCACGUCCUUAUUAACACGCGGUACUCUUCCCCCAAAUGUGGAGCAUAUGUAUCCAUUCUUCGUCCUCAAACACACGGUACUCUUCCCCCAAAUAUAGAGCAUAUGUAUCCAUUCUUCGUCCUUAUAAACACGCGGUACUCUUCCCCCAAAUGUGGAGCAUGUGUAUCCACAUUUCGUUUUUAUAAACACGCGGUACUCUUCCCCAAAUGUGGAGCAUAUGUAUCCACUUCUCGUCCUUAUAAACACGCGGUAUUCUUCCCCCAAAUGUGGAGCAUAUGUAUCCAUUCUUCGUCCUUAUAAACACGCGGUACUCUUCCCCCAAAUGUGGAGCAUAUGUAUCUAUUCUUUGUCUUUAUAAAUACGCGGUACUCUCCCUACAAAUGUGGAUCACUCUUUGUGCUUGCAAAUACGCGUUUUCUUCGACCUAAAUGUGGAGCAUAUUAUCCACUCUUCGUCCUCAUAAACACGCGGUACUCUUAUCCUUAAAUGUGGAGCAUAUGUAUCCUCUCUUCGUCCUUUUUAAUACGCGAUACUCUAAUCCAAAUGUGGCGCAUAUGUAUCCACUCUUCGUCUUUAUAAAUACGCGGUACUCUUUCCUAAAAUGUGGAGCAUGUGCAUCAACUUUUCGUUUUUAUAAACACGUGGUACUCUUUCCUUGAAUGUGGAGCAUAUGCAUCCAAUCCUCGUUCCCAUGAACACGCGGUUGACUUUCCUUUAAUGUGAGUUGUGAGCAUAAAACAUUAACAUUGGACUGCAGUAGAAACUAUUAAAGUCGAUUUGUAGCGCUCUUGUCAGUGGUCUAACAACUCUCAGCGGUCUAGGCAUGGUUCCAAUAUGUCGUUUAAAGAGUUGCCACCUAUGAUUUAGAGUUCCGACUAAUUUUGAUCAACUGACACAUAGUUUUCUGCUGCUGUGUAAUGUUAUGCGGUAGUCUCUCCGAAUGUGUUCUUUAUUAAUACGCGGUACUCUUCUCUCAAAUGUGGAGCAUAUGUAUCCAUUCUUCGCCUUUAUAAAUACGCGGUACUCUUUCCUAAAAUGUGGAGCAUGUGCAUCCACAUUUCGUCUUUAUAAAUACGCGGUCUCUUCCCCCAAAUGUAGAACAUAUGUAUUCACUCUUCGUCUUUAUUAAUACGCGGGACUCUUCCUUCGAAUGUGGAACAUAUGUAUACACUUUUUGCUCACUUGAAUAUGCGGUAGUCUUUCCCAGAAUGUGGAACACAUGUGCCUUCUCUUCGCUCACUUGAAUACGCGAUAGUCUUUCCCUAAAUGUGGAGCAAAUGUACCCACUCUUCGCUUACUUGAAUACGCGGUGGUCUCUCCCUGAAUGUGGAGCAAAUGUAUCCACUCUUCGCUUACCUGAAUACGCGGUAGUCUCUCCCUGAAUGUGAAGCAUAUGUAUAUAUUCUUUGCUUACUUGAAUGCGCGAUAGUCUUUCCUAGAAUGUGGAAUAUAUGUAUCCACUCUUCGCUCACUUGAAUACACGGUGUAGUCUUUCCCAGAAUGUGGAGCAUAUGUAUCCACUCUUCGCUUACUUGAAUACUCGGUGGUCUCUCCCUGAAUGUGGAGCAAAUGUAUCCACUCCUCGCUUACUUGAAAACGCGGUAGUCUUUACCUGAAUGUGGAUCAUAUUUAUCCACAUCUUGUUCCCAUAAAUACGCGGUACUCUUUAUCUGAAUGUGGAGCAUAUGUAUCCACUCUUCGCUUCCUUGAAUACGCGGUAGUCUUUAGCAGAAUGUGAAUCAUAUGUAUCCACUCUUCGCUAUCCUAAAUACGCGAUAUUGAAUGUGGAGCAUAUGUAUCCGAUCUUCGCUUGAAUUCGCGGUAGUCUUUUCCUAAAUGUGAAUCAUAUGUAUCCACUUCUCGUUCCCAUGAAUACGCGGUAGUCUGUAUCUGAAUGUGGAGCAUAUGUAUCCACUCUUCGUUCCCAAAAAUACGCGGCUCUCUUUAUCUGAAUGUGAAGCAUAUGUAUCCACUCUUCGCUUCCCAUAAAUACGCGGUACUCUUUAUUUAAAUGUUGAGCAUAUGUAUCCACUCUUUGCUUGAAUACGCGGUUGUCUUUAUCUGAAUGUGGAUUAUUUGUAUCCACUCCUCGUUCCCAUGGAUACGCGGUAGUCUUUAUCUGAAUGUGGAGCAUAUGUAUCCACCUUCGCUUCCUUGAAUUCGCGGUAGUCUUUAGCAGAAUGUGGAACAUAUGUAUCCACUCUUCGUUCCCAUGAGUACGCGGUAGUAUUUAUCUGAAUGUGGAGCAUAUGUUUCCACUCUUCGCUUUUUUGGAUACGCGGUAGUCUUCACCUGAAUGUGAAGCAUAUGUAUCAACUCUUCGUUCCCAUGAAUACGCGGUAGUCUUUAUCUGAAUGUGGAGCAUAUGUAUCCACUCUUCGUUCCCAAAAAUGCGCGGUAGUCUUUAUCUGAAUGUGGAGCAUGUGUAUCCAGUCUUCGCUUCCCAUAAAUACGCGGUACUCUUUAUUUGAAUGUGGAGCAUAUGUAUCCACUCUUCGCUUGAAUAUGCAGUAGUCCUUACCUGAAUGUGAAUCAUAUGUAUCCACUUCUCAUUCCCAUGAAUACGCGGUUGUCUGUACCUUAAUGUGGAUUAAACGUAUCCACCCUUCGUUCCCAUGAAUACGCGGUAGUCUGUACCUGAUUGUAGAGCAUAUGUAUCCACUCUUCUGUAGUAUAUAAGAGUAAGCACUAAAUAAAAUAAUGAAAUUGAUUUACUCACCAAUCAUUGUUAUUCCAAUGAACUGCAACCCUUGAGAUGAAAACGAAUUUGGAACAAAACAAAACAAAAUACUUUUGACGUUUCUCGGAUUGCUGCGAUCGAAAGCAUUGAGCGAUCUCAAAAAGUAAAUCGACUACGAUUUCUGUGGAACGUGUAUAGAAUAUUAGUGUGGAUCUUAAAAUGAGCUUUUGUGGAAUAUUUGUGUGGAUCUUAAAAUGAGCUUUUGUGGGAACGGAUGAUCUUUUGUGUGUGCGUGAGAGUCUUGCGUUCCGACAAAAAUGGAUAAGGAUGAUUCGGAGUUGAAAGCAUUUGAAUGUAUGCGUAAGCAAAUGAUAGGUACGGGAUUGAUGAAAAACGGGGAUUCAGAAAACUAACUUCGAAGCUAUCGGACGUGCUGCAGAUUUGUUCCGGGAAGAAAAUGGACGGCGAAGAGAUUUUCGGUCACCACACGUUAACGUUAUCCACUCUUUGCUUGAAUACGCGGUUGUCUUUAUCUGAAUGUGGAUUAUUUGUAUCCACUCCUCGUUCCCAUGGAUACGCGGUAGUCUUUAUCUGAAUGUGGAGCAUAUGUAUCCACCUUCGCUUCCUUGAAUUCGCGGUAGUCUUUAGCAGAAUGUGGAACAUAUGUAUCCACUCUUCGUUCCCAUGAGUACGCGGUAGUAUUUAUCUGAAUGUGGAGCAUAUGUUUCCACUCUUCGCUUUUUUGGAUACGCGGUAGUCUUCACCUGAAUGUGAAGCAUAUGUAUCAACUCUUCGUUCCCAUGAAUACGCGGUAGUCUUUAUCUGAAUGUGGAGCAUAUGUAUCCACUCUUCGUUCCCAAAAAUGCGCGGUAGUCUUUAUCUGAAUGUGGAGCAUGUGUAUCCAGUCUUCGCUUCCCAUAAAUACGCGGUACUCUUUAUUUGAAUGUGGAGCAUAUGUAUCCACUCUUCGCUUGAAUAUGCAGUAGUCCUUACCUGAAUGUGAAUCAUAUGUAUCCACUUCUCAUUCCCAUGAAUACGCGGUUGUCUGUACCUUAAUGUGGAUUAAACGUAUCCACCCUUCGUUCCCAUGAAUACGCGGUAGUCUGUACCUGAUUGUAGAGCAUAUGUAUCCACUCUUCGUUUCAAAAAAAUACGCGGUAGUCAUUAUCUGAAUGUGAAGCAUAUGUAUCCACUCUUCGCUUCCCAUAAAUACGCGGUACUCGUUAUUUGAAUGUGGAGCAUAUGUAUCCGCUCUUCGCUUGAAUACGCGGUAGUCUUUACCUGAAUGUGGAUCAUAUGUAUCCACUUCUAGUUCCCCUAAAUACGCGGUACUCUUUAUUUGAAUGUGGAGCAUGUGUAUCCACUCUUCGCUUGAAUACGCGGUAGUCAUUACCCGAAUGUGGAGCAUAUGUACCCACUCUUCGUUCCCAUGAAUACAUGGUAAUCUCUAUCUGAAUGUGGAGCAUAUGUAUUCACUCUUCGGUAUCUUAAAAACGCGGUAGUCAUUAUCUGAAUGUGGAGCAUAUGUAUCCCGGUUUCUUUCCCAUGAGUACGCGGUAGUCAUAACAUGCAUGUGGAGCAUAUGUAUCCACUCUUCGUUCCCAAAAAUACGCGGUAGUCUUUAAUUGAAUGUGGAGUAUUUGUAUCCACUCCUCGCUUCCUUGAAUACGCGGUAGUCUUUUCCUGAAUGUGGAUUAUAUGUAUCCACUUCUCGUUCCCAUGAACACGCGAUAGUCUUUACCUGAAUGUGGAGCAUAUGUAUCCACUCUUCGUUCCCAAAAAUACGCGGUAGUCUUUAUCUGAAUGUGGAGCAUAUGUAUCCACUCUUUGUUCCCAAAAAUACGCGGUAGUCGUUAUCUGAAUGUGGAGCAUAUGUAUCCACUCAUCGCUAUCUUAAAUACGCGGUAGUCUUUAUCUAAAUGUGGAGGAUAUGUAUCCACUCUUCGUUUUUAUGAAUACGCGGUAGUCUUGACCUAAAUGUGGAGCAUAUGUAUCCACUCUUCGUUCCCAUGAAUACGUGGUAGUCUUAAUCUAAAUGUGGAGCAUAUGUAUCCACUCAAUGAGAGUAUAUUACAGUUGGGGAAGAAGAAGAGAUGGCUAUGUAUUAGUAAGCAAAGAAAAAUGUAAACACAAAUAGUGACGUCACUAUUUGACACACGUUUUUAUGGGAGCUCGCUUCGCUUGUAGUAGUGACAGGUUUUGUACCAGACACGGAUCGUACGCACACAAAGUAUCUUCUUCCCCACCUUUAUUAGACUCUCAUUGGUAUCCACUCUUCGCUUCCUUGAAUACGCGGUAGUCAAUACCUGAAUGUGGAUCAUAUGUAUCCACUUCUCAUUCCCAUGAAUACGCAGUAGUCUGAAUUUGAAUGGGGAGCAUAUGUAUCCACUCUACGCUACCUCAAAUACGCGGUAGUCUUUUUCUAAAUGUGGAGCAUAUGCAUUCACUCUUCACUUUCCUGAAUACGCGGUAGUCUAUACCGGUUCAUUCAUAACGGGGUUCAUUUAUUUUAAUUUGAACUUCUAGUAACCCUGUGGGUAUCGAAAAACACACUGAUGGUAACCCUUUUCGCUGUUUUGUUUUGAUUCUGCGUUCCGUUUCGCCACGUUCCAUGAGCAAAAUGACGUUUGAACCAUUGCGCAGAAUUAGGAACCGGUAUUAACUGGUGGAUAAAUGUAUAGGUCCAGAACGAUCGUAAUGUCGCAUAACAGUUCAAAAUGAAGAAUCAAAUUGAAUUUUAUCUAGGGGAAACUACCUAUUCUCGGCCGUUUUGUUCUCUUCGUCUUAGGGGGUUUUUUGAAACCUUUUGAACUCAGAGUUGGUCUCAAAUCCUUCCCAACUAAGCUGAAUUAUAUGGCCAAGUUUCAGGCAGUUUGGCUGACAAAAACCCCCCAUGACGAAGAGAACAAACCUGCCGAUAAUACCCAUUGUCACCCUAUAGCCAAUGUUUUCCUGUAAAGCAUGUUGACAUUGAUCUAGCCUUCUUUUUACCAAUACGUAAUAUUGUCACCCUUUGGUAAUAUGUUUUUUGUAAUACCUCUUCUUUGUUUUUUUAUAAUUAUAUUUUACAUUCUUAAUGCAUAUUUCCUUUUUCUCUUUUUUCCAUUUCUUAUGUUACACCCUGUUACACCGAGCCGUUGAUUGGAAGCGACGAGAAACGAGGAGAAACGGUCAAAAGCUAUUAGAUAAUAAGGAUUACAUAAGGCAUCAUUAAAUAAUAACAAAUAAAUGAUUAUAUACACUAUAUUUGAUUCAUAUAUAAGUUGUAAUGGUUGAAUAUAAAAACAAAAUCGACGUGAACUUCUAAAAAUACAUAAUAAUUUUGGUUAGUAUCAAUUCGAUAUUUCAAAAUGAACGUCAAUUUAAACCAUUAUUUUGAAAGUGUUUUACUCUAGCGAACCCACAGAGGAAAUAAGUUAGAGGACACUAUUUGAUAUAGAAGUUAUCAAAUAUAUGUUUUGAACUAAAAUAUGUAAUGUAAGUAGUAGUGAUAUUGGUAACUUAAUGUAAUGAUAUUUUAGUUGUUUAUUUUAUGCAUCAAUAAAUUUAAAAAAACUGAAAUAUGUAAUGAAAAAUUAUUAAUAUCACUACUACUAAUGGAAGAAAUAUGUACCCGAAGUGAAAAUAUUAUCUCGCAAUUGUAAAACCCAGUAUAAAUGAGACCAAUAAAUUAUUUUUAAUCGCU